AAAAAAAAAAAAAAAAAAAAAGACACACCCAGAGCCAAACAAAGUUGGGUUUUUUGAUGCGAUUCAUAAAAACAUGCAUCACGGGGGACCGUGUGGCAUCCCAGGAAGGAGGUACUGUAAAGGACCUUAAGGAGUUGGGGUGGGUGAUAUGGUGGAGUGGGGGCUCCAAGAAGCAGGGCCGUGCUCUGGCUUGACUGCUGUCAGGAAGCAGAGAUGAUUCCACUCCUGGAUCUCAAUAAUUGUUAUCCAGGAAGCAGGACAAACCAUAUGAGGUUAAAGUAGUGACUGGAAGAGAAGAUGCCGUCUCUCGUGUUAGCCAGGAUAGGGGAUGUUGGAUCGUUUUUGUGGUUCGAAUGCGCUCCUGUUUUUGUCUGAGCAGACCUGAUUACCAGCGCUGUUGUUUUUGUCUUGGUCCAGCACAGACACAAGGUGACCUGGCCUGAUGGUUCUGUGAAAUCGGUGUUCAGUAGGGCCAGCUGCGAGGGCCAGGCCAGCCCCACCUGCCAGGGGCUGCUGUCUUCUCACCAUUCAUCCAUGUGCUUAUCUCUCAAACACAUAAUACAGUGUGCUGUCUCUGUGACGGACACUCAGUGAUUUACAAGCCCAAGUUCAUUUAAUCAGAUGCCACCCUAGAACCCUCCCUCACCUCAGGUGCCGUGUCACCCUUGUCCUGGCUUCUCUCCGCAGCCUCCUGCGGGCUGGUAUCUGUGUGCUCCAUGAGGACAGGGCCUUCUGUUUUUUUGGCUGUGGUAUCCUCAUUGCCUGGAACCUAGCAGGCAAUGCUAGCCUAGCAUCAAGGAACCUAGCAUCAACUUUGUUGAUGAUGCUGACGUUUAAUUAAAGAAUGUGUUGUCUGUAUGAUACAUACAUGCCUGGCCAAAUCACACCUGGUCUCUUCCAGUAGAAAAUUUCCAAAGCUCUGAUUCCCAGGGCCACUGUUCUAAAAGACAAUUAGCGGUACUCCCAUCCACCCCCCCCCAUUAUCCAUCCAUCCAUCCACUCAUCCAUCCUUUCAUCCACUUGCACAUCCAUCCACCUGAGCACACAUCCAUCCACCCACCCACCUGACCAUCCAUCCAUCCAUCCAUCCAUCCACCAUCUAUCUACCCAUCCACCUGCACUAGUUUUUAUUGGUUUGUACAUAACUUAUUCGAAAGUGAAUAUCUUUAGAAAGUUUCCCCCAAAUAAGUUUUCCUUUCUUGUUUCUCCUUCUCCGUGUGUUUACUGGGCUGCUAUGUCAGGUGCUUUGCUAACUAACACCUGGCUGGGCCCGUGGGUCCGGGAGGCAACACUGGCGUCCUGAGCGCGAGGUCCCUCCGCCCAGGAAGUGCAGGAGACAGCCCGGCAUAGGAUGACCUGGGGCGGGGGGCUGUAGGGAGGGGAAGAGGACUUGGGAUCCGCACAGGGGUACCGCGAGCCGCACCAGCCACCGCCGCGACUACAGGGCAGAGAGGGGGCGGUACCUGGAGGGAGUGAUGGGGCGGGGCUGGGGCUGGGCAGGGCCUGGCAAGGGGUGACGUGACUGACGUGGCGCAGCGAGAGGGCACAGGCGGAAGGGGCGUGGCCAAUGCGGGUGAGGGGCGGGGCUAGGCGGCCUGUAGUUUAGACUGGGCGAGGCCUCCGAGGAUAGCGCGGGUGGAGCCAGACUAAAACAAUGACAAAAGCGAAUUUCCUCCAGUGUCCUUGAUGUCGAAAUCUGCAGUUCUACCAUGUUUUGAACUGGACUGGUAGCUCAGAUUGGACUCAGAUGAGGACUGUGGAUUCCAUUGUUUUGUUUUGUUUUUUAACAUUUUUAAUUUAAUUUGAACUUAAUCAUGCAGGGAAAUGUACACUUUUUGCUAAACAGUGAUAAUCAUAUAACCACCACCGUGAUCAAGAUGCAGAAUAAUUCUGUUCACCCCCCAAAAUUCCCUCAUGCUGACCCUUUGUGGUUUGUGCCUCCCCCUACACCCCUACACACAUCCCUGACGAUGCCCCCUCCAUCCCUAAAGUUUUGUCUUUGCAUGAAUAUCAUAUAAAUGGAAUCAUCAUACAGUA